rnacentral:rRNA from 1 species
CAGUAGCCGCGGUAAUGCGUAGGUGGCAAGCGUUGUCCGGAAUUAUUGGGCGUAAAGGGCUCGCAGGCGGUUUCUUAAGUCUGAUGUGAAAGCCCCCGGCUCAACCGGGGAGGGUCAUUGGAAACUGGGAAACUUGAGUGCAGAAGAGGGGAGUGGAAUUCCACGUGUAGCGGUGAAAUGCGUAGAGAUGUGGAGGAACACCAGUGGCGAAGGCGACUCUCUGGUCUGUAACUGACGCUGAGGAGCGAAAGCGUGGGGAGCGAACAGGAUUAGAUACCCCAGUAGUCCCUGUCUCUUAUAA